rnacentral:lncRNA from 1 species
UUUCAUUCCUCCUGGUGUUUCUCCCUGAAAAGCUUAAAAGUUGUUAGUAAAACUUCUUUUGAUUAUGAAUUUCCACUGGGAAGCAGCCCAAGUUUGCAGGAAUUUUUCUGAGUUUAAGAACACUGGGAUUUACAAGACCCACAUGAGUUAGCAUGACCUUUAAUCUUCUUGGAGUAAUCUCUGAAUAGAAUGACAUUUAUUAACAUAUCAUGUGAAAAUAGUUAAACAGAUUUUCAGCAAAUAAGAGGGUGUUUUAGAAGGUCUUACUUCAAAAGUAGUUUUGUAGCCUAUUUAAGAUUUAGUGUUGGAGGUCUCAGGAAGGCCUUCAAAGUGACCUCAGAACCAAAUUUAACAGUAUUUGAAGGGAUACAGUUUGAAACAGUCUGACUUAAAGGUAUAUGGGGUGUACUAGUUUUACCUUGAGGUCUCCUGACUAAUGCCUCAAGAAAAUAGCAAGAGUCAGUAGUGGUGGUUCCCACCUAAUAUCAACAGCUCGGGAGGCUGAAGUAGG